rnacentral:rRNA from 1 species
GACGAACGCUGGCGGCGUGCUUAACACAUGCAAGUCGAACGGAAAGGCCCUGCUUUUGUGGGUUGCUCGAGUGGCGAACGUGUGAGUAACACGUGAGUAACCUGCCCUUUACUUUGGGAUAACUUCAGGUAACUGGGGCUAAUACCUGAUAGGAGCUCCUGCUGCAUGGUGGGGGUUGGACAGUUUCGGCGGUUGGGGAUGGACUCGCGGCUUAUCAGCGUGUUGGUGGGGGAGUGGCUUACCAAGUCUUUGACGGGUAGCCGGCCUGAGAGGGUGACCGGGCACAUUGGGACUAAGAUACGGCGCAGACUCGUACGGGAGGCAGCAGUGGGGAAUAUUGCACAAUGGGCCGAAGCCUGAUGAGGAAACGCCGCGUGCGGGAUGACGGCCUUCGGGUUGUGAACAGCUUUCGGCUGUGACGAAGCGUGAGUGACGGUAAUGGGUAAAGAAGCACCGGCUAACUACGUG